AUGAACGCUGGCGGCGUGCCUAAUCCAUGCAAGUCGCGCGAACGGACGAGAGGCUUGCUUCUCUGAUGUUAGCGGCGGACGGGUGAGUAACACGUGGAUAACCUACCUAUAAGACUGGGAUAACUUCGGGAAACCGGAGCUAAUACCGGAUAAUAUUUUGAACCGCCUGGUUCAAAAGUGAAAGACGGUCUUGCUGUCACUUAUAGAUGGAUCCGCGCUGCAUUAGCUAGUUGGUAAGGUAACGGCUUACCAAGGCAACGAUGCAUAGCCGACCUGAGAGGGUGAUCGGCCACACUGGAACUGGGACACGGUCCAGACUCCUACGGGAGGCAGCAGUAGGGAAUCUUCCGCAAUGGGCGAAAGCCUGACGGAGCAACGCCGCGUGAGUGAUGAAGGUCUUCGGAUCGUAAAACUCUGUUAUUAGGGAAGAACAUAUGUGUAAGUAACUGUGCACAUCUUGACGGUACCUAAUCAGAAAGCCACGGCUAACUACGUG
rnacentral:rRNA from 1 species